GGGGGCGUGGCGAAGCUCGGUAUAACUUUGCCCAUUCGGUUCAAAGUGCUGAUCGCGGCAGGCUCCAGACUUGUUGGUCACCGGUUCAAAUCCGGUCGCUCCCA
rnacentral:tRNA from 1 species